UGGGGAAUAUUGCACAAUGGACGGAAGUCUGAUGCAGCAACGCCGCGUGCGGGAUGACGGCCUUCGGGUUGUAAACCGCUUUUUCUCAUGACGAAGUUUUUUGACGGUAGUGGGGGAAGAAGCACCGGCUAACUACGUGCCAGCAGCCGCGGUGAUACGUAGGGUGCGAGCGUUGUCCGGAAUUAUUGGGCGUAAAGGGUGCGCAGGCGGCUUUACAAGUUGGAUGUGAAAUAUUGUGGCUCAACCACAAACGUGCAUCCAAAACUGCAAAGCUUGAGUUAAGGAGAGGUAAGUGGAAUUCCUGGUGUAGCGGUGGAAUGCGUAGAUAUCAGGAGGAAUACCGGUGGCGAAGGCGACUUACUGGACUUAAACUGACGCUCAGGCACGAAAGCGUGGGGAGCAAACAGG
rnacentral:rRNA from 1 species